GGGAAUUUUCCGCAAUGGGCGAAAGCCUGACGGAGCAACGCCGCGUGGGGGAGGAAGGCCUGUGGGUUGUAAACUCCUUUUCUCAGGGAAGAAGAUCUGACGGUACCUGAGGAAUCAGCAUCGGCUACCUCCGUGCCACCAGCCGCGGUAAGACGGAGGAUGCAAGCGUUAUCCGGAAUUAUUGGGCGUAAAGCGUCCGCAGGCGGCUAAUUAAGUCAGUUGUUAAAGCCCGGGGCUCAACUCCGGAUCGGCAGUUGAAACUAAUUAGCUAGAGUACGGUAGGGGUAGAGGGAAUUCCCAGUGUAGCGGUGAAAUGCGUAGAUAUUGGGAAGAACACCAGUGGCGAAGGCGCUCUACUGGGCCGUAACUGACGCUCAUGGACGAAAGCUAGGGGAGCG
rnacentral:rRNA from 1 species